GUGCCAGCCGCCGCGGUAAUACGGAGGGUGCAAGCGUUAAUCGGAAUUACUGGGCGUAAAGCGCACGUAGGCGGUGUGUUAAGUUGGAUGUGAAAGCCCCGGGCUCAACCAGGGAAUUGCAUUCAAAACUGGCACGCUAGAGUAUGUGAGAGGGGGGUAGAAUUCCAAGUGUAGCGGUGAAAUGCGUAGAGAUUUGGAGGAAUACCAGUGGCGAAGGCGGCCCCCUGGCACAAUACUGACGCUCAGGUGCGAAAGCGUGGGGAGCAAACAGGAUUAGAAACCCCCGUAGUCC
rnacentral:rRNA from 1 species